UACGUAGAGGGCAAGCGUUGUCCGGAUUUAUUGGGCGUAAAGAGCGUGUAGGCGGCUUUACAGGUCCGUUGUGAAAACUCGAGGCUCAACCUCGAGACGCCGGUGGAAACCGUAAGGCUAGAGUCCGGAAGAGGAGAGUGGAAUUCCUGGUGUAGCGGUGAAAUGCGCAGAUAUCAGGAGGAACACCCGUGGCGAAAGCGGCUCUCUGGGACGGUACUGACGCUGAGACGCGAAAGCGUGGGAGCAAACAGG
rnacentral:rRNA from 1 species